rnacentral:rRNA from 1 species
UACGGAGGGGGCUAGCGUUGUUCGGAAUUACUGGGCGUAAAGCGCACGUAGGCGGCUUUGUAAGUUAGAGGUGAAAGCCCGGAGCUCAACUCCGGAAUUGCCUUUAAGACUGCAUCGCUUGAACAUCGGAGAGGUAAGUGGAAUUCCGAGUGUAGAGGUGAAAUUCGUAGAUAUUCGGAAGAACACCAGUGGCGAAGGCGGCUUACUGGACGAUUGUUGACGCUGAGGUGCGAAAGCGUGGGGAGCAAACAGG